rnacentral:rRNA from 1 species
UAGGGAAUCUUCCACAAUGGGCGCAAGCCUGAUGGAGCAACACCGCGUGAGUGAAGAAGGGUUUCGGCUCGUAAAGCUCUGUUGUUAAAGAAGAACACGUAUGAGAGUAACUGUUCAUACGUUGACGGUAUUUAACCAGAAAGUCACGGCUAACUACGUGCCAGCAGCCGCGGUAAUACGUAGGUGGCAAGCGUUAUCCGGAUUUAUUGGGCGUAAAGAGAGUGCAGGCGGUUUUCUAAGUCUGAUGUGAAAGCCUUCGGCUUAACCGGAGAAGUGCAUCGGAAACUGGAUAACUUGAGUGCAGAAGAGGGUAGUGGAACUCCAUGUGUAGCGGUGGAAUGCGUAGAUAUAUGGAAGAACACCAGUGGCGAAGGCGGCUACCUGGUCUGCAACUGACGCUGAGACUCGAAAGCAUGGGUAGCGAACAGGAUUAGAUACCCUGGUAGUCCAUGCCGUAAACGAUGAGUGCUAGGUGUUGGAGGGUUUCCGCCCUUCAGUGCCGCAGCUAACGCAAUAAGCAUUCCGCCUGGGGAGUACGACCGCAAGGUUG